AAUCAACGCUGGCGGCGUGCCUAACACAUGCAAGUCGAGCGAGAAAGUGGUAGCAAUACCAUGAGUAAAGCGGCGCACGGGUGAGUAACACGUGACUAACCUACCCUCGAGUGGGGAAUAACUUCGGGAAACCGAGGCUAAUACCGCAUAAUACCCACGGGUCAAAGGAGCAAUUCGCUUGAGGAGGGGGUCGCGGCCGAUUAGUUAGUUGGCGGGGUAAUGGCCCACCAAGACGAUGAUCGGUAUCCGGCCUGAGAGGGCGCACGGACACACUGGAACUGAAACACGGUCCAGACUCCUACGGGAGGCAGCAGUGGGGAAUUUUGCGCAAUGGGGGAAACCCUGACGCAGCAACGCCGCGUGGAGGAUGAAGUCCUUCGGGACGUAAACUCCUUUCGAUCGGGACGAU
rnacentral:rRNA from 1 species